rnacentral:lncRNA from 1 species
UGAAUUUAAGUAGUUUAUUUGACAUUAAUUGCAGAAUUUACAGCACUACCAUUUAAUGAUAGGAAAAAUAGAAAUAAUCCAGUGUAAGCAAUGUUGUAGACAAAACAUCAGGGUGGGAAAUGAGCAAACUUGAAAAUGCAACUAACAUUCAAAGAAAUCUUCUGAAGGACUGAUAAGUUAUUCUCUAGAUAAUGAAGUGCGAUCCUCACCCUACGAGGACAUCAGGGCAGCCACUGAACAUAUGCCCUGAUGUCUGUCCUUAGAACAUCUUUCAUUAUCUGACUUCAUGUGUCUGAGAUGGGGCAGAAUCUGGGUUACAAUAUGCUUUGAAAUAUAGCUCAGGGUGAAAAGAAAAUAAUAUGGAUCAGUGUUUGAGGUUUUUUUUUCAAAACAGAAGGGAGUACAAAUUUUAGGGGUGUGUUUUCCUGCUUUUAAGCAUGAGAAGUGAUGUCAAAGGGAUUGACUAAAGUUAACAGUUUUUAAGUUUUUCACUAUGAUUUUCUUGGAGAUCAUAUCGAUAAAAGCAAAGAAAAAGAACAGGAGGUAUGCACAUGACUCUGAUCUCUUGUCCUUGUCGAGUCUUGUCAGAGACCUAUGAGAAGUAGCUGGGUUUCUACUAAAGUGCUGAGUUUCUGGAAGAGCCACUGAGCAAGCAGGUGGCAGAAGAAUAUGGUCUUUGACAUGAGGACCCAUACUUUAUACAGCCAUUUCCUCAUGGGUCUUUUUUCCUUUUUAAACUUUAAACAGAGCUGGGGCAAAUUCUUCUCUCUUUACCUCCUUUCUCUCAUUGUAGUCAUACCAUAAUGCAAUCAACAGACUAGAAGAAAGGAUUCAAGCCCCACAGGCCAGCAUGUGAAAUUAAAUGACAUUUUUAAUACCAAAAAUGAACACAUCUGAGGCCAACACCUAAUGUGAGAAAACAGCCAGGAGUGACUUAGAUCCUGAAAAAACUGGAUAAAAGAAAAGAUAUUAGACUUGUUUUCAUUCACUUUUGUAGGAGGAUAAUUUCUUUUCUGAGAAAUCACUGACCAAGAAAGAAUCCAUAGAAAUUAUACUAGUAAAGUAUUAAUUUAGAUAGAAAUAUUCAAAUAGGAAAGAUUAAAAAUUAGCUAGGCCGAGGCAUUCUCCAUAGUCCAGGGAAACACCUUCUUUGAGAAAAGCAAAGGACAAGGAAGAGAACUAAUUAGAAUGUUGGUCAACUCCUAAUGAUCCCUUGCCCAUGAAAUUCUUUGGCAUCCUAGAUUUGUGGAGAAAACACUGAAAUGUUCUGGGAUUGAGGGGGAAAAUAAGAUUUGGUGAUUGGGGACAGGGAUUAAAAAAGUAGCCAGUGCCAAAAUUAUAUCUGUACUGUAAGUCUCUGAUUUACAAAUGAGUUCCAUUCUGGGAAAAGGUUCAUAAGUCAGAUUUGUUGGUAUCUGAAAAAAUGAGUCUUGUACAGUACACCUGUGAAAGUUCCCAACUCAAAUGUUCAUAAGUUAGGGAUUUACUGUAUUAGGCCCUUUCUUCAAACUUCAACAGUUCUUUAUCAAUUUCUCACAUGUAAAGCUUGUACUCUUGUUUCAGAAAUCCCAAUAUGCAAGGUGUUUUAUAACUUCUCAUGAUGAGAACUUGUGUUUUACUAGAGUAAAACACAACCUAGUGAAGAAAGGAAAUCAUAUUUUACCUUGAAGAAAGUAUCUACCAAUGAUGUAACUACCUAUGCAGCGGCUAGUGUGUCUCUGGAUACUUCCAUCUUUCUUCCCAAGUAGCAGGGUCCCUGACACGAUCUGAAAAUAACCUUGCCUGGAUAGUAAGCUGACUCUUGAGCUAAAUGCCAAUUGAGCCAAAGCAAGGAUUAUUGGAGGAAAGAACCCAAGUUCUACAACUCUUUGAGUGGGUAUUACAAGCAGAGAUAAUGUAAGCAUUGAUGGGCUGUGCUCUGGUUUGGUUCUAUAGUUAGGGUUUAGCCUAACUCUCUAAGAGACAGCAACAGCAUGGCAAUGUGCAUACCCACCCUGAGAUGGGAGCAAGGCCUAGAGAGAUAGCAGGGUCUCCUUUUCCUUCCUGAAGAUUUCCAGAUCAAAAUGGGAAACUGAAAUGUAGUUUAGAAAUAAAACAUUAGAAAAUCCUAUUCUGUACCAUUUUUUUGCCUUUCAAAAAAUCAUCAACAGUUGUGGAUGGGAUAGCUAAAUGUUAUGCAGGAGAUGCGUGGGAAGGGGGGUUUUGCUUUGGAAGAUCCCCACUGCGUUGAAUAAACCUGGGCCUAAAGAAAGUCUUUCAGUGGUGGCCCAGGAAGAACAGGGGGGCCACCUCAGCUUUGGUGGGGAGAGUGCCCAGUAGGUCACAGAAGAUGUAAGGCUGCCAUUUUCUUUCUUCCUUUAUAUGAAUUGGGGUCUGUCUUCAUGCUGGCAUGUGCUCAAGGCUGAGGGAUCUCAGAGAGAUGUUGGGAUGCAAAGAGAGUGAGGUUAGAGAGUUUGGGCCCAGCUCUCUUUAAAGCUGACAGAUAUGGAGAUCUCUUUUUAGUCUCUCAAACCUACCUUCUAGCCCUCGACCUUCUUUAGGCCAGGUGAGACCUGGGCCAGGUGAGAAAACCAGGCUACAGUGAGAUAAUUCCAUAGUUCUGCAUCUCCAAGGAAAAGGACAUCCAUUGGCACAAAGCAUUGAGUAAAAACCCUUUAAUAACAAAAUAACAUUCACAAUGUAGCUACUUCAGCUGUCUGGAAAACUCAGCUUACACUUGAUUCAACAUACCACUUUUCACAAAGUUAAAAAAAAAAAAAAGGACAAUAAAAUGGCAAACAAAAUAUACCUCAAAUUUCAUAAGACAAGUCUUGGCAAAUCCUAGUGAGCCAGACCCUUGCAUUGCCUGUAAUAAAAAGGGCUGGACAUGUUCAUGUCUCAGACACUCCUCUGUUUGCUCUGGUUGGAAAAUACAUUUGAACUUUGUAGAUACUACAAUAUCUGCAUCAAGAGGAACAGUUUGUAGGUUUGUGAGUAUCAGGAGAAUUUACUGAAACAAAUAUUGAUUUGAUUUAUUGUAGAAGAACAUAUAAAGCUUUCUGAAUGAUUAAACACUAUUACAAUCACUCACUGUCUUACAAAAGCUGAUUUUAAAGUUCUUGUAUCCAUUCCCAUCUUUGGCAGAUUAACAAAAGGAAAAAUGGAAAGACUAUAUUACAAAGCUUUCAGUAUCACAAUUUACUUUUAUAAGGCCAAAUGAAAAUGUUUCUUUGUAUUACUAAAGAAAGUACAUUCCCAACAUAUUCUCAUUGACAGAUAACGUGAAUGCUCUACUGUCUGUCGGUGAUUUCCAGUAUUUUGCAUGGCAGAUUUCUGUUUCCAUCAUUGUUUCCUAGAUUUUUCUAUUGUGUCCAAUAGAAAAUGAAGUCUGCUUGGCAGCUGAUUUGGCUUUACAUAGGCAUAUUGAUUGAAGAAAUAACCAUGAACCUUGAGACUGGAUCUCAGAACCCAAAUAUAAAAAUACAAAAAUGUUUUCCUAAUCCACUGUAACUGAAAAAUACUUCUUAGGAUACAGAAAUAUCAGAUAAUUUGAGGAUUUAAAGAUAGUUUCCCUAAACUGGGUCUGAAAAUGUAUUAUACUCCUCUGUUGAAGAGAGGUGUAACACUGUAGAGCAGGUAACACUUAAGCCAGAAUCAUCCCUGACUCUAGGAAGCAACAUCCAUGAUACAGCUGCACAGGUAAAAUUUUAGGGAUUGGCCAAGUAUUUCUGCCUAAAUCACUGGAACUAUAAAUUGGUGGGGAUGUUCAUGAGAGUGGACCAAAAAAGCCAGAGAAUAAUUGUUGAUAUUGAUGCUAUUUGAGUUUCUACUGGGAACUGACCUAACAGCAAAAUAUUAGAAGAAACCACACAGUCAAAAAUAGCCAUUCCAAACAGAGACCCAAGAGAAUUAGAACUGGAUGAAUUAAUAUAAACAUAUACAUGGCCAGUUAGGCCUGAGGUUGUGAAUAUAAAGAUAAAAUAUGUAAUUUCUGUAGAAAUUAAAAACACAGAAGUGAGUUGCUCGUCAAUGCUCAUUUUCAAACCCCUAUCAUCUAUAGUGAUAUAUUUGGGUUAUGAAGAUCCCAAUUUGUGUAACAAAAAGUUGGCUAACUCAAACUUGGAAUGUCCUUUUUCAUUAUAAAAUUUGAACCUGAUUUAAUCUAACUCAUUUUGAAAUCCCAACAGAUGUAAAGGUAUUUUUGAAGUGAGAUAUCUCCCAAUAAAACCACUAUUACCACUGUCUGAGGCUGAACUGUGUACAUUUUCACAGUUUAAUGUAUACACAACUGUUCCACAACUGCUAACAAACAAUAGGCGCCCAUGCAUAAAUAAUGUCCAUAGAACCAAAGGGGGAAGAUCUAGUUCAAAAUGAAAAAUGUUGCUAUUAAGACCACAAUGCAUCACACUGCUAAAAUUUUUAGCUUCAUGCAUAAAAUUAUAGCACUGAUUGGCAGUUGCUAAUUAUAAUACUACACUGUUAACACAGAACAAUUCAUUGUUUAGACCAAGUAGCACAAAUGUAGAAAAUAAUUUUUUUUCAACAGAGCAAAUGAACACAGAUUGUUUCUUCAGCAAAAUAUGAAACUGUAAACUUUGGGCUCAUUCUGCAACUUUCCCCAAUCCAGAAUAAAUAAAAUCCAAAAGGGGGAAAAAAAGAACAUACGUUUUCUUUUUAAGCGCACCUGUUUGUCUAUUACAAAAGCACAACCUAAAAUGUAUAAAGCUUUUUUUUUCUUUUUUCUUUUUUUAAAUUACAGUUACCAAAAGAAACGGUGAAUAAUUUAUUACAUACGCUAUAAUAACAUUACUCUAAACACUAUUAUCUAUGAGGUAUAUCUGAGAAAAUUCGGUAAGGAAUUGCGCGGUCUGCAUUGCCAACAUGCCCAGGUUCAUAUUAAAGCUUUGGAACCAUGAACUAGAAAAGGGGAAGAAUAGGGAGGCAGAAGAAGGAGACAUAGAGAAAGAACCUUUGGUAUUAGUACAAUUCUUGUUCUUUGCAGGGUUGCAUUGCAAAGCACCACAGUACAAUAAGCCCACCAAUUUACUGUAUGGAGGCCCAGUUGAAGCUGAGGUAUUCACAGGAAGGAUUAAAAAAAGCACAGAGAGGUCCAGACUGGCUAAAUCGUUGCUUUGGUUCAAGCAAGGCACUCGUCCCGUGGUUAUGUCACACUUUGCAAGUGAAGCAUGAGGCUGAGGGGGAUUUGUUGAGGAGGGGUCUGCCAAUUAGGGAUAUUUUCUGUGUUCAGGCUGCCAUUGCUCUUUCUAGUUUCUUCAUAUAGCAGGUCUGUAGUAGGAAGGUGGGGGAGGUGACGUUUGCUUGUUAUGGAGAAGCAGUCUGCUGCUUGAUGAGUUAGGUCAUCUUUGUUGUCUCCCAAGUAUUGUGAGCAUUCGAUUUCUGAUAGGAAUUUGGGGAGAAAACCAAAGCAAUUUGCUGUUUGGAAGGAAGGCCUUACAGGUUUGCUUUGUAUAGGUAAGAGGAUGAAACCUUAGACUUAGUUGACAGGAAGGAACUUUCACAGACGUCAGGAAGGUGGUUGGGAAUUUUAGGAAGAGGGUAAUUGAGUGUUUUUUAUAGUCUGUCAAUCUAUCUUUUAAAUUCCUCUAUUUGCUACACUCCUGAAUGAAACAGAUGAGUUGGUCUUUUCCUUUUUUAGCUUGUCUAAAUGGUCUGUUAAAAAGCUCAAGGGUGUGAAAUACAAAUUUCUAGUAUUCAAUAAGGAGCUAUAUAGAUUAGUGGUGGAUAUUUGCAUGUGUCUAAAACCCACAUGCAAAUUGGGUCAAAAGCUGAAAAGAUUAAUUGGUUAACAUACAAAUCACUUUGAUGAAUGAUCUUAAUAGUGAUUUAAUCAUUUAAUGGAAUCAAAGAAACUUGAAAAAGGCCAAUGAAUUUCAUGAGUAAGAAAAAAGAGAAGCAACUUUAAGUAACCAUUUUUUUUUUUGGUACUGGGAAUCGAACUUGGGACCUUGCGCUUGCAAGGCAGGCGCUGGAACCACUGAGCUAAAUCCGAGCCCUAAGUAACCAUUUUUAAAAAUGGCAUAUCCAUGCAUUUGAAAUCUUGGGCUCAUUCUUCAUUUACAAUGAGUAGCUGUUUAGCAUCAAAAAUGUAAGGCUCUUGAAAAUAUACCUUUGGCUUAGGAAUAAAAUUUAAACAUCUAUAAGUAAAAAAGAAUAAAAGAAAAAGCUGAUCACUGAAAUGCUGUAUGUGCAAACUAUAGUCAUGUUCUCUUUCUUGGUAAAUACUGACCUUAAAAUGUCCAUAAUAAUUAAAUUUAAUGGGCCAAGAAUGAACUCUCUCUUCCUACUGAAUUAAAAGCUUGUUUAUACAACACUUUUAAUGGGGAGGUUCAAAAGUGAUCGCACUGUUUGGAUCAAUAUGCACUUCCCAGGUUAGAAACCUCCAAAUGAGCCCUAAUAUUUCAAGACUGUCGACCUUACUAAGCACUGGAUCAUAUGUACCUCUGUGGAGAUGUAACUGGAUAAGAUACUGAAAGUACCUGUAACUAUCCUUAUAGGAUGAGAAUGUUAGAUAAUAAGCAGCUACAGGAUUGCUACUUUCCUACUUGCCUACUUGACAGCAAUAUGCAGAGCACUGGGGUGGAGCUAGGAGAUUAGUGGCUGUGACUCUGGUGUAAUUUGACUUGGAUAAUGAUUUCAUUUCUCCAGGACAUAGGGGGCUGGACUUAAUGAAUCCUAUAGUCCUUUUCCUACUCUACAAUCCAAUGGUUAGAAUUUCUAUGACCCAGUACUUGUCUCUUUCCUGUGAUAGCUCCACAGGAGGGACAGAGGUCAUGGCUAGAACUGAAGGCCCUCUCCUACCAGUCUUCAUCAAUUUAGGGAUCAUAAUUUAGGGAAUCCAAUUAAAGCAGCAUCUAAACUUGCGUCCUGAUCAUGUGGAGAGAGCAAAUAAAUGAGAGAAACACAGAAAAUAUCCCUUUCCAAAUUAGCAGCCACCAUCACAUAGAUAAUUAUUUCUUUGGGGUAUCUGAGCUGUGGCUGUACAUACCAUAUGUCAGAGAGAAUAGUUAAAUUAUAAAAGAGCACAAGCAAAAUGCAGACCGCACAGAGAAAGAAAUCUUUGGUAUCUUUGGUGUCAUCAACACGAUUAAAAUUACAAAUGGAAAAAGUCAGUGAGGUAGCCUUCUUUGGUUCUCACUAGAAAUAGAAAGUUUUUCCUUUUUUUUCUUUUUUUCUGCUUUUUUUUCCUUUUCUGUUUUGUUGCUUCUGGCACACACAGAGUUCAUUCUUGGAAGCAGCUAGUGUUAAGGGUUUCUCUCUUUUUUGUUUAUGAUUUUUUUAAAAUUUAUUUUUCCACUUUCCAUAUAGAAGCCCCGAAAUCCAGGCUGGUGAAGCAGGGUCUCAGCUUAUGUUUUCUGAAUGCACAGGUUCAGGUUGAGUAGUCAUUGCUUGUCCACAAAAUUUGCUCUGUUGUUCUGACAGCAAACAAACUGCAGUGCUCUCUGUUGUUUUAAAUAAAAAAUAUAAACUAUACAAUGCAUCUUUCACAGAUGCUGAAUAAGUUAAAUAAAUAAGUUACAAUAUGAAGGCUCUGAGGCCCCCAGUAAGAGGUGAAGUUCGCCUGGUACCAGGUGGGGCUGUGAACUUAAAUUAAAUAAUUUAAUAAUCAUUAAACUAUUUUAAAAGUUAAUUCAAUAAGGAAAAAUACCCCAAAUUCUCUCCUUUUGUAACCUGUAUUUCUUCCCUGUCUGUAACAGAAUUUCAGUGCUUAUAAAGCAAACUAAAUUUCAAGAAUAUUCUAAAUAGGAUUUUGCAUCUCUGAUGCACCACUGGUCUAGAUUUUGAUAAAUAAGUACAAGCAGUAAACUCAAACUAAAGAAAAAAUUAUUAAAUAAUUACCCAAAUCCUAUACAUCUGUGUACUAGACACUAAUUUAAAUAAAUUAAUUACAUAAUGAUAUUUUGCUUGGGUCAUAACCCAAAGAGACAAGAUAAAAAAUAUUUUGGGGGAUGUCUUCAGUUUUGAUGAACAAACUGUAUAAUCCCUUUCUACAGUCCAAAUGAAUAUAAAGCAGAAAAGUACAACCUCUAAAACUUUCUCAUGUUGAAGACCAUUUAGAUGUGACAAUCAUGAGAAAAAAUAAUCACCACUCCCCACUAGCUAGUGCUAGUGCUAGUGCUAGUGCCAGAAGACCACACACUCAUUAUCCCAACCUUGGAAGCCAGAGCCUACCUUUUCCCACUGGUUUGCGCUUAUUUUGCUAUUUUUUUCUGUCUUUUUCUUUUUUCACUUUUUUUCUGUUUUUCUUUUCUUUUUUCUUUUUUUGCCCUUUUCCAGAUCUUUGGAUUUAGCUUUAGUUAUGAGAAAUCCAGAAUAAAGCUAUUUAACCGAAGUCAUCAUCAUUCUAACUUAGAUGAUUAGAUAAUAUCCAAGGUUCCUUUAUAAAUUGAGUUUAUCUUGGAUGUGCCCAAAUGAAAGUAAUUUCAAAUGUACACAAAGAAGAUGCUGGGAUACUUUUUUUAUAUUCCUGCACUUUGGUUUUCAAUGUUACAAUAAAUAAUAAUGGAAACAUUGUACAUUGUGAAAGUACCACAUACAUGUUGUAAGAUGAUUUAAAAUUUAUUUAUUGUAACAGAUUACAAUAUAUAUGUAUUAAGUAUGUCUGUACACACUUGCAUGUACACAGUCUAGAUACCUAUAGGUAAUGUGUAGAUGUAAGACAACUACGAAAAUACAUGUCAAAAUAUGUCUCUAAAUCUGUAUACAUCCAAGCUGACAGACAGUAUAAGCUUUAGGCAAACUUCUCGACCAAGAUUUAUGCUAUGUGAAAUGCCUGUCACUAAAAAUGGAGCCAAGUGAAAGACUUCUGGGGAAUGAACAAGGCUGAAGCACUGUUUUUUCUUACACACAUAUUCUCCACUAAAAAUAUAUUAGCUGGUUAAUUUCAAUCAACCUAACUCAAAACCUACAAGGGAAGGGUUGGGCUGUAGCUUUCACUUGCCUCAGGCUGUCAGAAUCAUUUUGAUAUCAGAGGACAAUGAGCAUUUAGAAUCCCGUAAGGUUCAUACCAGAGCCCACCAGCCUCAAUUAAAAAUUUUGCAUCUAUCUGAGGUCCUAUAUUAAUUUGAUAAUGAUUUUGGUAUUUCAGAAAUAUUUUAGGGCUUUCUAAAACAAACAUUUUCCCUCCACCAUGACCACCUUGAAAAGAAACAAGUCAUUGGUAGACAGUAGGCACUGGAACAUCCAUAUUUAAAGCCAACAACAUCUUGUGAAAUUUAUACAACCAACAGGGGUACUGUUCUGCUUUAGUAAGGAUUUUCGUGGCCUUAUUUUAAAGCUGGAAUCGCCUAUUGUUUCAGAGGUGACUUGGUCUUAACUAAAGGUAUAAAAUUAUUAAGCUAUCCAGUUUUGCCCAUAAGCAUCAGAAAGUUAUAGUUUGCCAGCUCUAUCCUGUUUUCCUCUACCACUUCCCACUCACUUUCCUGGUCAGGCUGACAAACGAAUCAGAGCAUCAGCAACAAGAGCAGAAGUCAGCUCUGGUCUGUUAUGAAUCCAGAGGGUUACUGUCAAAGCACUUGUGUUUGGGCCCCGUGGUCAACCUUAACCACAGGUAGCAUCUCUUUUUCUCCAGCGUUUAAAGAGCCCAUUAGUUGUACAACCUCCUGAAGACCAAAGAGAUGCAAGUUCACUGCAGAGGCAAAUUGUCAUGACACUUUAACAAUGACAGUCAAACGGAUACUCCUGUAAUCCUACCAACAUUUUCAAAAGUGGGUAUCUCCCUCUACCCAAGUAGUUGAAUUUUAAAAGUCUGCUCAAUUUUAAUUUAUUGACAUUAAAAGGUGGAUGCCCAGUAUAGACAAGGUAAAAUGGUUGAUUAUUUUAAAAGUAUUUACUUUUGGCUUUGGAAUAUAUUGCUUGAUUUAGAGUCUAUGGCCAUCUCACCCUGAACACACCUGGUCUCAUCUGAUUAAGAAAAAUGCGUAUCUACCACAUUUGCCUUCAUAAUUUAAUUUUAUUUUAGACUGAAAUGAACAUGAGCUUGGAUUCUCUGAGCCCGUAACUGCCAAGAGCCUAUAAGAGAAGAGUUGCUGUACAGGCAACUUUGUGAUUUUUCCAGAGAAAAAGAUCACGCUGGGUCCUUCUUGGCUCAGGGUAGCCUGUUCCUUUGGUACAACCAAAAUAGUCUUACAUUUUGGAGUAAGCAUUUAAAUGUUGAUGUUGAGUGUUAUUAUUGUUGCCAUUUUCCUUUUAAAAAUGUAUUGGUUCUGAUUUUCUUAAUUUCUUAGAAUGAAAAAAUUGUAUCCCUGGUACCAAAAUCACAUUAAGAACAAAAAUAAAGCCUAAUUACAUAAAGAAAAAUAUCUUUCUACUCAAUAGCUAUGAGCAUUAGGACUUCUGUUGCCUCAAAGGAGUUGAAUUUGCCUAAGAUCUGUUCCUUCUCGCCAUCUCUUUUGUUGCUGAUGGCUGAGGUAUACCUACAAUUUCUCUUGGAUUGAGGAAAUGGAUUCUAAACUAUAACCAACUCCAACUGGUUAUUUUUUCUGAAAUUAACAACUUAUAACAAAUUUUUUAAAUCCUUCAAGAAACUCACUGUGUUAAAUUCUAUAACCUUUCAAUAUAGCAUUUUUUUUUUCAGAUUUCUAACAAGAUGAAAUUCUGCAGGGCCUAAAAUUUGGACACAUAAACACGAGCACACAUGUAUUUAUAUGUGUAUGGAAAUAAUUUUCAAAAAUGCAAGUACUUCUUUCUAGUAUGAGAUUAUCUGGUAUGAGAUAUUUACCAAGAGUAUUUGGAGGGGAAAUUCUUGCCUUUUAUUUUUUAAUAAUGACAUCUUCCUUUGAUCACUAGACCACUGGUUUGACCAGUGUUGAAAUGUCAGGCCACAAAGGCAGCUCUUUUGGCCUAUACUUCUUCAGGGGAUGCCAGACCCAGAUGCUAAUAUUAGUGUGUCAAAGAAUCACUAACCAAAUCAACAGGCUUGGCUCCUCGACCUGUUCUCAAGAAGAACAACCAUUUUCCAUUGGCCACAAGUCACAGGGAUUCAUUUAGAAAUACCCAACUUAAAAUUCAUCUCUAUCUAUCUAUGUGCGAACCACCCUCUGCUGAAAUAUGCUCUUUUCUUGACCCUUUGACAAACUAUUCGUGGAGUAUGAGCAAGGGACAAAGGAACACAAGGGAAAAGUCAAGAAAUGAUCCCCAGGCAGGAUAAAUCACAAAAACCAUGGAGGACCAUUUUCUCUCAUAGUAUCAUGGCUGCUGCCCCUGCAAAGGGCAACCUGAAUGGUAAGGGUGAGGAGGUGGCACAGUGUGUGAUGGGGCAGUCCAGGGGCAGAACUCCAGAACUCUUCCCCAAACCUGCUCUGUUUUCUCUCCAAGAGUGAAAGCUCCCCCUAACACAACUACCCUACCCCAGUGCCAGCUGUGGUUACACACGGGCUUGUCAAUGCAAAUUGAUAAUUACUACCCCGAGGAAACCUGAUCAGCCCACUGCAACAGGAAAUGGAUGUUGCCAUGAGAAGUCUCUGGUGAAUCUGCUCAUUAAGGGAUCUGGAACACCCUGAUGGAGACAGCAUCUCCUGGAGAAUGAAUGGAUUUCUGGGCUGGCGUCAUGUCACACAGCUGGUGGGAAUGCACCACUGAGCCUUCCUAGCAGUUACAGAAGACAAGCCUCCACUGUCAGCAGCCCAGCUCUGUAUGGUGGAUGUACCCUACUCACCAUCUUAAUCAUGGUGCAGGCAUAGAAUAGAGAUGGCUCUAAGUAUAAAUAAAAUUCAUUUAUACCAUGAAUCCUCUUAUCAACAGUUUAAAUGUUGAAAUGCUUAAACUUCACUUUUUGACCUUGACCAGAAAUUUUCAUAGAAAUCAGAAUACACCAAAUCAUCCACAGUGGCAAAUUAACCCUGGGAUGGCAUGAGAAACGAGCAAAAGUCUGAACUGAAUAUCCAGUGCUUGAAGCAUGUGACAAAAACAAGACAUGAAUUUGGACAGCAAAAAUUUUGGGUUAUCACCAAUGUCUAGUUGAUCUAUAUAUGUAUUCAUAUAUUAUAUAUAUCUUUCUUUAGAAAUGCAACUUUACAGCUGAUUUUUAAAAAGCUAAUAGAAAAGUAGAAACUGGCAAUUAUUUUUACAUGUUUCCCCCACCCCCAAAUGAAGCCCUAUUAAGAUGUAGCAAUUACAUGAAGAUCAGGCUGUAAAUCCUCUAUAAAUUCUUUGGUUCUGUGGCUCAGGAGCGGAUGUGUCACCAAGACCCCUACCCCUGAUCCUUACUCCCUUUUCCUCCCCUGAUGAUGAGACUCUGAACAUAGAAAGAACCAAGUCUAAGAGUUAAGAAAAGAACAUUCAAGUGACAAUACCGUUCCCCACACUCUGUUGCGCAGAGAGAGGAGAAUCAUUCAGUAUCCCUACAUCUUAAACUUGGAGUCCAUGGAAGCUUUUGCGAGAUUCCAUGUUGGGGUAAAAAGCCAUCAAACCAAAUUAAAAGGAAACAAUAAAAUCAAAUAAAUGGCCCUUUCCUUUUGUUGCUCAGAGAAACAAAAUUGGUUACCUUUGUACAGAUCAAUGGCGCUAUUAGUAUUUUAGCCAGGCAAAAGAAGAUAAUGAACUGAAACAAAAGGUGUGAGAAAUCCUCAUCUUUGGUAUUGUAGCUGUUGAGGUUUCUGUUGCUCUGUUCCGUGUUCUUUUGAAAAACUGCAUAGGCACAAAUUAAAGACAAUCUUCAACUUUAAGAUUACCAUGUGAGUUGUCAAAUGAAGCAGCAGCCAUUCAGGCUCUUCCUUACUUCAAUUCUUGUCUCAACCCUUUCUUUCAAAUCUGCUUCCAAAAAAUGUCCCAAGAGGUCUGUUUGAACACAGUGUGUCGCGCUGAUUUUUGUUUUUUGUGGGUUUUCUUUUUUCUGGCGUGCUUCCUUCUUGUUGAUGGUGAUUUCCAUUGAUUUACGGAUUUGUUUAUUCAUUUAAUGGGACAGUUCUGUUUGUUGCAGAAGUAGGUGCAGAAAAAGUUUCUUUGGUUUCGAUUAAGUAAUUCAUAAAAAAGUCAGUCUUAAGUGUCUGUAAAGAAUCAUUGCAGCGUUUGGCUUGCUCUGAACACCCCCAUGGUGCCCACCUAGGGCCAUUCACUGGUAAAUAUGCACAUAUGACCUUUGCAAUCUCCCAGAGUUCUGUGGGCGCUCUUCUGCUUUCUGUGGGAAGAUGGCAGCCAGGACCCAGAACUGGCGUGAUAAAGCCACUACCUGGUGGCUUGGCUAACGUUCUUGGCAUAGCUGGUCCGCUCAGCCUGAUGGUGCGCCAAAUGCAAGAGCUGAAUGCCAUUUGGAGUUGCAGAGGUUUUCUGAUUUCUAAAAGUAAUCACAGUAUUUUUAGGCUAGAAAAUGGCAAGUCAUAAAUGUCUUUGGUUUGCAGUAUCCUGCUUCUUUGGUGUGCUGUGUUUUCUCCAGAUUUAUUCAGUUGUUUUGCAAGGAUGAGUCAACAAUGGAAGAGAGUUAGGACUAGAUGACAGUCAUGAGCAACAUGUAUAGUUUGAUUUAUUAUUGUUUCUAGAAAACACUGGAAAUAUCCCUACUAAUGGGAUGGAUGAGGUAACAACACAAAUCAGAAAGAAUGAGAAUGAAUUAGGUGGUGGUCAUAAUGCACAACAGGAGGAACCAGAUGACUGAUAACCCAAGAAGGACACAUUAAUGAUCUUAAAAAAAAAAUCUAGAUCUUUUAAAAUGGCACAUUUGCUCCAUGUACCAUAACAGUUAAAUUGGCCUCCUGAGUGUGCGUCUGCAUUACGUACAAACAAAAUUUGUAGCAAACUGCAAAAUGUGCUUGAAGCCAUACUCUCAACGAUUCCCUAAUGACUUCAUUAACAGGUGUCUUGAAAAUCCCGAGAAAAUGAAUCCAGAACCUUCCUUACUUCUGUUUAUCUUUGUUGUGCUUGAUACUUUGAGCUCAAGUGAACUGAUUCAUUGGUUUUUUUUUUGAUGGAUCCAAGACCAUAUGAGAUUUUCAGGAGGUAAAGAAAAGACUGUAAACUGGAUCAACUUAAAGCUUUCUAACUCAUUCAAUGAGAAGAUGCCUGAGUUGAAAAAAUAGGUCCUUGGAGUUUUUUUUUUUUUAAACUUCCAUAUUUAAAACUUGUGCUCAAUAAUUACUGUUCUGAAAUUUUAAAUGGUAUGGCUGUGAACUUUGGUGUACUGUGAUAUAAUGAGGCUAAGCACUUGGAAAGCAAAUGAGGUCAUUCUUGUUGCUAGAUUCUUCUCCUAUUGCAGUGUCUUGGAAGCCUAAACUUGGAGUCCUUAAAUGGACCAAAUUAUCACUGUUAGCUGUGGGAACUCUGACUGCAAGAGGCUGACAGGACCUGAAGUGGUUCUGUUGACAUUUUCAGCAAUCCUGAGCUUGGUUGGCAUCAGACUGGAAUUAACUGGCUCCAGGAAGGCCCCAUUUGGGUUUCUGGGUUGCUUAGCAUACUCAGAAGACAGUGUCUGGUUCAAAGAGAUUACUUUUCAGCUUGCACUUGGACUCCGUAGCCAUUAAAAACAAAAAAAGAACACCUGGCCUAUGAUUACAGCUAGAAUAGAAGUUUAUUUUCAAGAGAAUUGUGCUUUCAAAUCACCAGUGAAGGGCCCCAGCUAAGAAUCUGGUGUCUUUUUCCUUAGUGUUUUCUUUUGAUAUCUGUUGUCCUCAUUUGGAGGUGACUUGUGCCCAGGUGAGAGUCCUUCCAUCAUGCUUUGGUACAAGUGCUGGAGGUCGCCGAGGAGCCCCCUGUGCUCAGGUCAUCUUGCCACUUCUCCAGGCUGCGGCGCCGGGCAUUCAUGAAGAAGUUGCUGACGGUGGUGAGCUCUAGGCCCAGCUGCUGCGAAAUGGUGAUCUGCAUCUCCUUCGAUGGCCGCUUGUUCUCCUUGAAGAUGGCAAAGAGUGUUCGGCGUUGGAGGUCGGUGAACACCAGCCGGGAUUUCUUCUGGGAAUUGUUCCUGUCUUUGUUUGGUUCUUGCUCUUUACGUUUGCACGCU